CUGGUUCAGAACCACAGAAGUCUAAUUAAUUAUUCAGGGUCAUGAGUAAUCUCAGUUUAAGUUCUCCCUUGUCCUGUUAACCUGUUAAGCAACAUUGUUAAGAUACUUCGAAUGUUGGAAACGUUAAUUCAACCAAUUCAGUUCACCGUCCUUUGUAAAGUUUUAUCAACUCAUUUCGGAUAAAAUCCAAAACCAUCAAGAGAUAUAAGUAGUAUCAAGAUUAGUACUAAUAGUGCGAACUGUUCAAUUCCACUCGCUGUAACCAAUGCUAGCCAAUAAACAUGAGUGUUAAUUUAUUUUAUUUUAUUUUUAUUAAUUUUUUUUUUUUGGAAAACCACUGAAUAUCUUUGUGACCAAUUAAUUAGCAUCACCAAGCAACUCAGAGUUAUGCAACUUAAUUAGUAGUAGCACCAACAUCGAUAAAUCAAGACAAUUUGUAUUUGACCUUUCCUUUAGCAAUCAGUUUGUUUCAGCCAAUUCCCUACUGCAACUCGCAUCAGACAAUUCUGCCAAACCCAAACCUUAUCUUAAUGGAGUUAAGGACUAGUAUCAAAAGGUAUAGUAUUAAGAGAUGUCGAUAGGAUGAGCAGAAUCAUAAGUUAUGGGACAAGGAAAUUUUUGGACUUGUCGGUAUGAAUAUUCAAAGCUCGAACCCUUAAGUUAACCUCAUAAUAGCAGUCAGUGUCCCAUGUUUUAGUGUAUACCCCAACCAGGCCAGAUACCGAUUUAAUGAAGUUGUUGAGCAAUAAAGUAAUCGUCGGGAGCAAUAAAGGAAGUAAUACUAAAAGAAGAUGGAUUGUAGCUGGGGUCGGUGAAGUAGUGAUUUCAAACAUAAACUAACUCGCGAAGAACAUCACUGAUCGAAGUAAAGAGCGUGUUGGAACAACUCAGUUAUCACAAUCAAGUGUAAUGGUACGAGUCGACGUAUUGCGGAUAUGUAAGAUUGUGGUACAAUAUUAUGAAUGUAGUGAUGUGCCUGACGUCACGAAGUAAUGCAAGUAUUGUCUUGUGAUGACUAUAGUACGAGAAGUAUAACAGAAGAAGUAACACCGGAAAAGAGGAGACGAUGUGUGACAGUGUCCGGGAAUUUGUAGACCAAGGCUGUAAUGAUGCAGUCGGAAGAUGAGGGUAAGUAGUCAAGAUCAGAGUGCGCAGCAAGUAAUGGUUGAUAAUGCAGUGAGCAAAUUGGUCUUUAGGCCAACAACUCUUUCAGAGAGGAAGUUUUAUUCCAAUGGAUUGAAUAUCCGUAAGAAGACUAACGAAAGUAUGACGAGAGGAACUGAUGUGUUCAGAGCAAUCAGACUGAGAAAAGGUAACACAAAGGGACUAAUAUAAGAUGAGCGCGCACCUAAGAGUUAUAAUGUGGACUAAGGUUGUUAAUCCGAUGUCAUGAAAUGAACGAGUCAAAUUUCCAAAAGUAACAUAAGCAAAUGUUAACGUACAAUGUGAACGACAAAUAAUGAUCGGUUAAGAGGCGAAGUCUAGAAUCUAGACGAGGCAUAAGCAGUUACGCUAAGAGUGAAUGAAGAAGUUCAUGAAUUUCGCGGACGAAAUUCUUUUAAGGGGGAUUGAUUGUAAUAUUCCGACUAUAAUUAAUAAAGAAAUAUUAAUUAAGGAUGGUUAUUGGAGUUAAUUAAAUAACAAGUGAUCAAAGUAUGAGGAAUUAACUAAAGAAUUAAGUGAAGGGCAUAGUUGGAAGUUUCACAAAAGUCUUCAUAUAUGCCACACCACCAGCCAUUUGCUCAUUCUUUCUAUUUCUCUCUCAGACUCCAAAAAUCAGAGAAACAUUUCCCUCAUGUCUUUUCCUCUCUCACGCCUCAUCAGCACCACCAUCAUCAUCAUCAUCACCAAUAAACCAAUCUUUUCCCUAACACCAAAUCCAACAUUGCAAUUAGUAUGCUAGAUGUUCGAGGAACGCAAUGAGCAACGAUUACCACCUUCAUCUACUUCUCUCUGCCUCUCGUAUCCUCUCACUCUCCCAACUCUAAUUUCACUCUCAAUUCUUAGUUGCAUGUGUUGUUCAUCCAAUCAUAAGGAUAUGGACCAUUGGAAUUCUAAGAUGUAUGCAUGUUUGUAAUUCUGGUCUUGGAGCACUUGUGAGGAAUUAAGGACAGUUGUUGGAACAAGGAAACAAGAACAUUGGAAAUAUUUAUGGAAAUUCGUAUGCUGGAUGUAUCCUCACUAAAAUGGUCGUACCUCUCUCUGUGUUAGUCCAAAUUUAACCAUUCUUGAUGUUCUGGAUAGCUAACGUAAUCCCGGCCGUUUAGGUACCAGCCUAGUGAGAUUUAAUGGAGAAAUGAGGUCUCUGCAAAUAUUUGAAGUGAAAGUUUCAACACAGAAUUUAUGCAGAAAGUGUUUGGGAUUGGGCUGCACUCAAACGGUAAAUUAUUUCUCUCUGUAACUCCGUUUGGAUUUAUUCUGAUUGCUAUGGAAAGCUAACUCAAAUACGGUCGUUAUGGUCCCGGUUUCAUAAUUUAUGGACGAGAAUUGUGGCCAGUGGGCAUUUUUGAAGUUGGAACUCUGAUGCUGAAGUUAUGCAGAAAAAUCUGCAAACGAGUUUGAAGUAGUUUCGUUGCAAAUUCCGCUUUUCGACGAGUUUCGGAAAUGUCGGUGGUACUGUUCAAGCGUCAAUUUCAGAUAAACAGGUUGAUCGAGAUAUUAUGGUCUGCAAGCUUGGAGUUCAGAUACUUGGAUUAUGCUAGUUGAGCUGACGUCAUGUUAUCUUAUAUUUUGUAUAAGAUUUAGUUUCUUGUUUUUAGUUGUUAGCUCAAUUUAGUAUUAAUCUCUUGGAUUUUGUAAUCCUAUUUAUGUAUUCAGACGAUAUGUAAAGAAAAAUUAAUGGUUCCGAUUCAGUGUACUCCUUUGUCAAUAUU